rnacentral:rRNA from 1 species
UAAACUUCUUUUAUUAAGGACGAAAAAUGACGGUACUUAAUGAAUAAGCUCCGGCUAACUACGUGCCAGCAGCCGCGGUAAUACGUAGGGAGCAAGCGUUGUCCGGAUUUACUGGGUGUAAAGGGUGCGUAGGCGGCUUUGCAAGUCAGAUGUGAAAUCUAUGGGCUCAACCCAUAAACUGCAUUUGAAACUGUAGAGCUUGAGUGAAGUAGAGGCAGGCGGAAUUCCCCGUGUAGCGGUGAAAUGCGUAGAGAUGGGGAGGAACACCAGUGGCGAAGGCGGCCUGCUGGGCUUUAACUGACGCUGAGGCACGAAAGCGUGGGUAGCAAACAGGAUUAGAUACCCUGGUAGUCCACGCUGUAAACGAUGAUUACUAGGUGUGGGGGGUCUGACCCCUUCCGUGCCGGAGUUAACACAAUAAGUAAUCCACCUGGGGAGUAC